UACGGAGGAUGCAAGCGUUUAUCCGGAUUUAUUGGGCGUAAAGCGUCCGCAGGUGGCUAUUCAAGUCUGCUGUCAAAGCUCGGAGCUUAACUCCGAAUCGGCGGUGGAAACUGAACAGCUAGAGUGCAGUAGGGGUAGAGGGAAUUCCCAGUGUAGCGGUGAAAUGCGUAGAGAUUGGGAAGAACACCGGUGGCGAAAGCGCUCUACUGGACUGCAACUGACACUGAGGCGCGAAAGCGUGGGGAGCAACAGG
rnacentral:rRNA from 1 species